rnacentral:rRNA from 1 species
UACGUAGGGGGCAAGCGUUAUCCGGAUUUACUGGGUGUAAAGGGAGCGUAGACGGCUGAGCAAGUCAGAAGUGAAAGCCCGGGGCUCAACCCCGGGACUGCUUUUGAAACUGUCCGGCUCGAGUGCAGGAGAGGUAAGCGGAAUUCCUAGUGUAGCGGUGAAAUGCGUAGAUAUUAGGAGGAACACCAGUGGCGAAGGCGGCUUACUGGACUGUGUCUGACGCUGAGAUGCGAAAGCCAGGGUAGCGAACGGG